UGGCCUCGCAGCGGUGCGCGCCCCCGUUGCCAGCGUGUUUGCAGUCUCUUCUCCCCUCUCGCGGAUUUUCCAUCUUUUUUUUCUUUCAUUGUGCCAUUUUCCACCCAACCAAGCACACCAUCGCCGUCUGCAGCACCGUGGGCUGCCAUUGCUACUGCCAUGGACGCUGCUGCACCGCCUUCACGACCGACGCCGCAGUUCCGCUACAUGGACGUGUUGAUGGAGAGCAGCAACAACCAUGAAUUAUUAGCACUGGAAACAAUCCGGGAGGCCGGCCAGUCUCGAGAGAAUGCGACCAAGGAAGCCUCACUCAGCCCCAAAGAUACUGCCGCUGCGCGUGAUCGGCAACUCGUGACUCGCGUGCCAACGCCAGAGCGCAUCCGCCGCGCCUCGGCACGCCUUUAUAACGACAUCCAUGCCAUUAUGGAUCGUCACGACGCUCGUACCGGCCGCGAGCUCAAGCUGCGUCGCCGCGGCUCACGAGAGGCGAGCAUUUCGUACCUGGCGGAGCAGCCUCGUAGCCUACACCAGAGGGUGGCUGUCGCUCCUCACACCUCACCCGCGGCGAAGACGGCGCUGCCCAAAGUGCAUCAGUUGUUUGAGGAGUCGCGGCGGGCUCACCUGGCAGAGGCGCAGCAGCAGCGCACAUACUUCCCAUCCUCUAGCAAACCCACCGCUUACUCCCCCAAGAACCCCAGCACGUUCAGCUAUCGAUUCCAGUCGCCUCCGUCGGCCGGCAGCAGCGCGUGAUGCCUCAUCUUUCCCCUCUUCGACCCCUGCGAGAUGUUGCAUUCCGGCCUUGCUCUCCCUCACUGGGACGCGUGCUACUGGACCGGCCGGGAAUGGGGACUGGGAUGACAGCAGGGGAUGCUGUAGGCGAGGGGAGAUGUGAGGUGAGGCGAAAGUGCUGCCAGUAUAUGAGGUGUGCCCUCAACGGAAGUCAAGUGGCGGCUUUCUUGUUUCGACACACAACCACCAACUUUAUGUACAGCAACUCAUGCGCACCAUUGCUCCCUUUCUUCUCCCUUAUCCUCAUCGUCUGUUGCACUCUUUCGCCUGCGCCCUCCCCCUCCCACUCUUCCUCCUCCUCGCCAGAGUCUCCACCUUUCUCUCUCUCUGUCGCUUGCUACUUUACAUGCGUAUGCAGAGGGGGUGAUGCGCCUGCGCCCCCCUCCCCUCUGACCCUCUCUUCCCCCUGCAUAUAUGUGUUCGCUUGCGUACCCCUCGCCGCGCCGUCUUC
rnacentral:misc_RNA from 1 species